CAAUUUUUCUUAGGGGUACCUUCAUGACCCUUUGCCUUUCAGAGCUUUGGAGUUUCAUGAUUCCUAGUUUACUAAUUGAAAAUUACAAGUUCUGAAGUUCAGUAUUUCUGGAAAUGCCAGGGUUCAUAAAGUUUUUUUAAUGUUUUAAAUGUUGGCUGCUUUUCAGUGUCUUCAACUGCAAUAAACUUUAAAAUGGAGACAUUGCAAAGGUUCUGGAUAAAUGGUUCUUAGGCCUAUAUUUCUGUAAGAUGUUUGAAUUUAAGAUAGUGGUGUCCAUUUCUUCUUUAAAAAUGGUAUUUUGCUUUUUUGUAUAACCGUUUGAGUAUGAAAUAGCUAAAAAAAUAGAAGAUAAAUUGACAAAACCUUUCUAAAAGGUGUUGAAUCUUCUACAAAAGAACACAUACACUGUUGCUUCUUUAUUCAUUGAAACCUUUUCUAAUCUUAAUCCCCUCAAAAGUGGUGCUUCAGUUUUUGAACAUGUCGGCUUCCCUGACUUCCUCUUUUAGUUAAAAAAUUGUUUUGAAAAAUCAGGAGAGAUUAAGAUAAGGAAACUUGGCAAAAGUCAAGGGGAAUUUCUACAAGCACUCCGCUUAAAAUUCUAGAUUUAGUACAUUUGUGAAAAUUUCUCUCAGGAUCACUGUUUUUAUAUUAAGAUUAGAAAAAAUGAACAAUACAAAAAUAAGCAAAUAUCAAACACUAGAGGCAAUUAAACAAAAACUAAUAGAAAUGGAAAAAAGCAUCAGAAACAAUACAAAACUUCUAAAAUAUAUAUAAAACACUUUUAAAAAAAAAAUCCCAUUGUACUAUGUUAUCAAUAGAAAGGCUACAAAGAUUGUCUAAGAUGCUACUAUCUUGCAGUAAAAUAUAAUACCACUAUCAAAAAAGAACACAUCCAUUCAUUCUCUUGUGUGAAAAUUUUGCCUUUUCCAAAGAGUAUAAAUUACAUAUUUCUCUUACUAUCACUUUUCCCAUUUUUUGAUGAACCAAUUUUUAGUUUCAAAUCCAUCAAUAUCAACCAUUUUAAUGUGGCAUUAUUGGAGAUUUCGUCCAUGAUUAACAAAGUCCAAUAGUAUCCACUUUAAAAAUGUUAACUUUUGGACUGGUUUACCAUUGUUGUAGUGUUUUCAAUUUCAGCAUGUUUUGAUGGCCCCAAAUAUGGGCCAAAUGCCUUGGCUAUUUGAAAGAUACUUGAAGUACUUUCUCAUGUGAUAGAAUCUACAAUGGAACUUAAAUGUCUCUUGAAUAUCCCCCCCCCCCCAGAUAUGGUUAUUUUGUUACCUUAUUGCUUCGCUCUGUUGCUAAGCAUGAUUUGGAGUUUUUAAAGUAAGUUGGAUCCAUAGUCUUUGCCUCAAAAGCUUUUUAAGAAGUAAAUAAGAAUUUGUUUUGUCUACACC